UGGCUCAUUAAGGUCGUAAUCAGGCUCAGAAGUUAUAGAUUUAACAAUGAAACAAUCCAUGCAAGCUUCGAUUAUAGAAAUGUCACUACUUUGUUAAAAGAACACGUGCGCCCUUACAGUUUCUCAUGGAGUGAUGUAAACAUGAGUUAAAGGAACAAUAAAUCACAGAUUAUCAUAUAAGUAAAGACAGAGAGAGAACGGAAAAAAUAAAAG
rnacentral:misc_RNA from 1 species